GGACGAUUAACUCAGCUGGUAGAGUGUCUGCUUGACGUGCAGGAAGUCGGGGGUUCGAGUCCCUCAUCGUCCA
rnacentral:tRNA from 2 species